rnacentral:rRNA from 1 species
CCUACGGGGGGCAGCAGUGAGGAAUAUUGGUCAAUGGACGAGAGUCUGAACCAGCCAAGUAGCGUGAAGGAUGACUGCCCUAUGGGUUGUAAACUUCUUUUAUAAAGGAAUAAAACGAGGCACGUGUGCCUUUUUGCAUGUACUUUAUGAAUAAGGAUCGGCUAACUCCGUGCCAGCAGCCGCGGUAAUACGGUGGAUCCGAGCGUUAUCCGGAUUUGUUGGGUUUAAGGGGACCGUAGAUGGGAUGUUAAGUCAGUUGUGAAAGUUUGCGGCUCAACCGUAAAAUUGCAAUUGAUACUGGCAGUCUUGAGUACAGUUGAGGUAGGCGGAAUGCGUGGUGUAGCGGUGAAAUGCUUAGAUAUCACGAAGAACCCCGAUUGCGAAGGCAGCUUACUAAACUGUGACUGACAUUGAUGCUCGAAAGUGUGGGUAUCAAACAGGAUUAGAUACCCUUGUAGUC